AGGGCUACAACGGCACGGUGUUUGCGUACGGGCAGACGGGAUGCGGGAAGUCCUUCACGAUGCAGGGCGUCGCGGACCCCCCGACUCAGCGAGGGAUUAUACCCAGAGCGUUCGAGCACAUCUUCGAGGUGAUCCAGACGACGGAAAACAUGAAGUUCCUGGUGCUGGCGUCGUACCUCGAGAUUUACAACGAGGAGAUUCGCGACCUCCUCGGCACCGACGCCAAGAAGAAAACUGCCUCAAGGAG